CAGGUCUCUCACUUGCAAAGCGAGUGCUCUAACCACUGAGCUACAGGACUCCAGUGGAGUCUUAACAUCGCCUUAACAUCAAGUUCGCCCACAAAUAUACAGUCAAUUCACUUUACAGUGUGUUCUGUGAAGCGCUUUGGGACGUCCUCCCGACGUGAAAAGCACUAUAUCAAAUGCAAGGAUUAUUAUUUAUUAUUAAGUGGAGUCGACACUGUCCUUACCACCCUCAAUCGGGCCAAGUUGAAAGAAUGAAUGAACAAUUGACUUAAGACAGGCAGAUUGUCAUAUCAUGGGCGAUGCUUUGCUUGAAUAUUAUAGUAAGCUAACUGAUGCUGUCAGCUCUGCUUCUCGACAGGUAUCGGUGGCGUGGGGAGAAGCGCCAAAGGGAGGACACGAUUUGGUACCAGGAGCUCAGGUGUAUGUGAAGAAGAUACAAGAAAGUAUUAUGCUUAAUUAUUAUGUUUGCUUUAAUGUUUUUGACAGUGUCAAAGGGGGGAUUGAAGGAGAACAGGAGUUCUGACCUGAAUGACUGAUAGUGACCCUGUACAAAAACUGCUCAGGCUAGUGGUCUUAUAAUCAGCAUAGAGUAGGUUAAACUGGAAUGGACCAGAUUGCUGCUCAAGGACGGGGAACAAAGACAGGAAAGAGUAACGGAAUAACAAGUUCAUAUUAGGAUAGUGGGAAGAGACGGAGUUAGGGAUAUGAGAGACAGCUGGAAGGGGGUGGUAUUAGAGUGGUCGGCACAAAACUUAAUUACAGCAUUGCGAUUGGAGCAUUAUACCUAUAUAUGGAAUGUGUGCCAAGUAUUCUUUGUUCGAACCACAAGAGUGUGCCUGGACUGUAACCUGUUUGCAGUGCGGUAAUAAAGAAGAACUUUUGAAAUCUACCUGAAGUCUGAAGAUUAUCUUACACACGUAGAGACGGUUUAAGAAGUAACCCAACAAUAAUGGAUGACGGAGAGUGAAUAUAAUCUUAAAUGGAACUGCUCACAUACACUUUGAAGUUGGCAGCAAAAUAUGAAGGUAAACAGAGGCGUAUGGAGUAAGGAAACUUGUCCAAAGUUGUGCCCUGUUGGGAAUCGAACUCAGGUCGUCUCGAUUGUGAGGUCGGUGCUCUAACCACUACGCUACAGGAGUACCAAUAAUAAAAAGGAUAGCAAGAUUUUCUUCUCUGUACCUGGUGUAUUCCUGGGGAUAUGGAGAAGAAUACCAGGUCUGGAUCUCAAACUUCCCAAACUCAAUAACAGAGGGAGAGCGGAGCUGUGGGUCUGGCGGGCCAGUGACUCCAACUUUCUGUUGGGGCAAGAAAAUAAAUAAAUGAUUAGCGUCAA